UUCUGUUAUCGGGUUCUUUUUUUUGGCCACACCCAUGGAGGAAGUUCCCUGGCUAGGGACUGAAUCCUCGGCAUAGCAGUAAUAAGGCCACGUCCCAGCCCACUGAGCCACCAGGGAACUCCUAUUUCUAAUAUCAUUCCAGUGUGGUCAAACAAUGCUCUUUGAAUGACUUGAAUUAUUUUAGGGAGUUCCCGUGGUGGCUCAGCAGUAAUGAACAAGGCUAGUAUCCAUGAGGACUUGGGUUCGACCCCUGGCCUCGGUCAGUGGGUUAAGGAUCCUGCAUUACCAUGAGCUGUGGUGCAGGUUGCAGACGUGGCUCAGGAAGUAUUUGGCUGUUCUGUCAACAUCGAUUAGGCCAGGCUGGGCAAUAGCGUUGUUCAGAUCUUCUAGAUCCCUCAUGAUUUUCUUCCACUUGCUGAGUCAAAUAUUGAGUGAAGAGUGUUAAAAUCUCCGAGUGCCACUGGGGACUUGCCCGUUUCUCCUGAUCAGUUUUUGCUUCACGGAUUCUUGCCUCUGCUGUCGGGCGCACGCGCUUUUAUGGUGGUUACAUCAGCCUGAUGAUCUUAGAGCUUCCGUCCUUGGGAAAUAAUCCAGUUUGUCUCUGGUCACAUUCUUGCUCCCAGUCUACUUUGUCCGGGAUGAACACACUCCAGAGCUGUGCGGAUUGGUGUCAGCCCACUCAUCUUCUCCCACCUUUGCUCUUAACCUAGUUGUGUCCACAUUUGGAGUGUGCCCGUGUGGGCAGCAUGUGGUUGAAUCUUGCUCUUUUUACCCAUUCUGAUAACCUCUGCCUUUUACUUGGGGUGUUUUGAUCAUUUACAUUUAAUGUAAUUAUUAACAUAGUUGGGUUUAAAUCUAGCGUCUCACUACUUAUCUUUUAUUUGUUUCAUCUGUUCUUUUCUCCUUUUUUUCUGUUUUCCUUUGGAUUAUUAGCUUUUUUUUCCUCUUUACGGUCACACCCGUGCACAUGGAAGUUCCUGGGGCUCAGGGUUGAAGCAGCAGCCAGCAGCCUCUGCCACAGCCAUGGCAACACCGGAUCUGAGCUGCCUCUGCAGCCUACACUGCAGCUUGCGGCAAUGCCAGAUUCUUAACCCACUGAGCAAGGCCAGGGAUCAAACCUGCACCCUCGGGAUCCUGAACCUGCUGAGCCAUGAUAGGAAUUCCCAACUUUUUUUUUUUCUCACAGUUGCGACCUGUGCCACAGCUGUGUCAACACCAGAUCUUUAAACCACUGUGUCACAAGGGAAUGUCCUGGGUUAUUACUUUUUUUUUUUUUUUUUUUGGUCCUUUUAGGGCCACACCUGCAGAAUAUGGAAGUUCCUAGAGUAAGGAUCAAAUCAGAGCUGUAGCCGCUGGCCUGCACUGCAGCAACGCCAGAGCCGAGCUGUGUCUGAGACCUACACCAAAGCUCAGGCUGGAUCCUUAACCCACUGAGUGAGGCCCGG
rnacentral:lncRNA from 1 species